rnacentral:rRNA from 1 species
UACGUAGGGUGCGAGCGUUGUCCGGAAUUACUGGGCGUAAAGAGCUCGUAGGUGGUUUGUCGCGUUGUCCGUGAAAACUCACAACUCAAUUGUGGGCGUGCGGGCGAUACGGGCAGACUGGAGUACUGCAGGGGAGACUGGAAUUCCUGGUGUAGCGGUGGAAUGCGCAGAUAUCAGGAGGAACACCGGUGGCGAAGGCGGGUCUCUGGGCAGUAACUGACGCUGAGGUGACGAAAGCGUGGGGAGCAACAGG